rnacentral:rRNA from 1 species
CAGUCGCCACGGUAAUACGGAGGGUGCAAGCGUUAUCCGGAUUCACUGGGUUCAAAGGGUGCGUAGGCGGAUCUGUAAGUCAGUGGUGAAAUCUCCAGGCUUAACCUGGAAACUGCCGUUGAUACUAUAGGUCUUGAAUUUUGUGGAGGUUAGCGGAAUAUGUCAUGUAGCGGUGAAAUGCAUAGAUAUGACAUAGAACACCAAUUGCGAAGGCAGCUGGCUACACAACUAUUGACGCUGAGGCACGAAAGCGUGGGGAUCAAACAGGAUUAGAUACCCCCGUAGUCCCUGUCUCUUAUAC